rnacentral:rRNA from 1 species
UCGGACGAAUACUACUGGGGGUAGAGCACUGUUAAGGCUAGGGGGUCAUCCCGACUUACCAACCCUUUGCAAACUCCGAAUACCAGUAAGUACUAUCCGGGAGACACACGGCGGGUGCUAACGUCCGUCGUGGAGAGGGAAACAACCCAGACCGCCAGCUAAGGUCCCAAAUUACUACUAAGUGGGAAACGAUGUGGGAAGGCUCAGACAGCCAGGAUGUUGGCUUAGAAGCAGCCAUCAUUUAAAGAAAGCGUAAUAGCUCACUGGUCGAGUCGGCCUGCGCGGAAGAUGUAACGGGGCUAAGUAGUAAACCGAAGCUGCGGCAAUAUACUUUUGUAUAUUGGGUAGGGGAGCGUUCUGUAAGCGGUUGAAGGUGUGUGGUAACGCAUGCUGGACGUAUCAGAAGUGCGAAUGCUGACAUGAGUAACGAUAAAGGGGGUGAAAAACCUCCUCGCCGGAAGACCAAGGGUUCCUGUCCAACGUUAAUCGGGGCAGGGUAAGUCGACCCCUAAGGCGAGGCCGAAAGGCGUAGUCGAUGGGAAACGGGUUAAUAUUCCCGUACUUCUUACAAUUGCGAUGGGGGGACGGAGAAGGCUAGGUGGGCCUGGCGACGGUUGUCCAGGUUCAAGUGCGUAGGCUUAAGAGUUAGGUAAAUCCGGCUCUUUCUAAGGCUGAGACACGACGUCGAGCACCUACGGGUGUGAAGUCAUUGAUGCCAUGCUUCCAGGAAAAGCCUCUAAGCUUCAGAUUGUAAGGAAUCGUACCCCAAACCGACACAGGUGGUCGGGUAGAGAAUACCAAGGCGCUUGAGAGAACUCGGGUGAAGGAACUAGGCAAAAUGGUACCGUAACUUCGGGAGAAGGUACGCUCUUGAUGGUGAAGUCCCUCGCGGAUGGAGCUGACGAGAGUCGCAGAUACCAGGUGGCUGCAACUGUUUAUUAAAAACACAGCACUGUGCAAAAUCGUAAGAUGACGUAUACGGUGUGACGCCUGCCCGGUGCCGGAAGGUUAAUUGAUGGGGUUAGACUUCGGUCGAAGCUCUUGAUCGAAGCCCCGGUAAACGGCGGCCGUAACUAUAACGGUCCUAAGGUAGCGAAAUUCCUUGUCGGGUAAGUUCCGACCUGCACGAAUGGCGUAAUGAUGGCCACGCUGUCUCCACCCGAGACUCAGUGAAAUUGAAAUCGCUGUGAAGAUGCAGUGUACCCGCGGCUAGACGGAAAGACCCCGUGAACCUUUACUACAGCUUGGCACUGAACAUUGACCCUACAUGUGUAGGAUAGGUGGGAGGCUUUGAAGCACGUACGCCAGUAUGUGUGGAGCCGUCCUUGAAAUACCACCCUUGUAGUGUUGAUGUUCUAACGUCGACCCCUUAUCGGGGUUGCGGACAGUGCCUGGUGGGUAGUUUGACUGGGGCGGUCUCCUCCCAAAGAGUAACGGAGGAGCACGAAGGUGGGCUAAUCACGGUUGGACAUCGUGAGGUUAGUGCAAUGGCAUAAGCCCGCUUGACUGCGAGAAUGACAAUUCGAGCAGGUGCGAAAGCAGGUCAUAGUGAUCCGGUGGUUCUGAAUGGAAGGGCCAUCGCUCAACGGAUAAAAGGUACUCCGGGGAUAACAGGCUGAUACCGCCCAAGAGUUCAUAUCGACGGCGGUGUUUGGCACCUCGAUGUCGGCUCAUCACAUCCUGGGGCUGAAGUCGGUCCCAAGGGUAUGGCUGUUCGCCAUUUAAAGUGGUACGCGAGCUGGGUUUAGAACGUCGUGAGACAGUUCGGUCCCUAUCUGCCGUGGGCGUUGGAAGAUUGAAGGGGGCUGCUCCUAGUACGAGAGGACCGGAGUGGACGAACCUCUGGUGUUCGGGUUGUGUCGCCAGACGCAUUGCCCGGUAGCUAAGUUCGGAAUCGAUAACCGCUGAAAGCAUCUAAGCGGGAAGCGAGCCCUGAGAUGAGUCUUCCCUGAUACUUUAAGUAUCCUAAAGGGUUGUCGGAGACUACGACGUUGAUAGGUCAGGUGUGUAAGUGCUGUGAGGCAUUGAGCUAACUGAUACUAAUUGCCCGUGAGGCUUAACCAU